rnacentral:rRNA from 1 species
UACGGAGGGAGCUAGCGUUGCUCGGAAUCACUGGGCGUAAAGGGUGCGUAGGCGGGUCUUUAAGUCAGGGGUGAAAUCCUGGAGCUCAACUCCAGAACUGCCUUUGAUACUGAAGAUCUUGAGUUCGGGAGAGGUGAGUGGAACUGCGAGUGUAGAGGUGAAAUUCGUAGAUAUUCGCAAGAACGCCAGUGGCGAAGGCGCUCACUGGCCCGAUACUGACGCUGAGGCACGAAAGCGUGGGGAGCAAACAGG